AGAAAGCGUAAUAGCUCACUGGUCGAGUCGGCCUGCGCGGAAGAUGUAACGGGGCUAAACCAUGCACCGAAGCUGCGGCAGCGACACUGUGUGUUGUUGGGUAGGGGAGCGUUCUGUAAGCCUGUGAAGGUGUGUCGUGAGGCAUGCUGGAGGUAUCAGAAGUGCGAAUGCUGACAUAAGUAACGAUAAAGCGGGUGAAAAGCCCGCUCGCCGGAAGACCAAGGGUUCCUGUCCAACGUUAAUCGGGGCAGGGUGAGUCGACCCCUAAGGCGAGGCCGAAAGGCGUAGUCGAUGGGAAACGGGUUAAUAUUCCCGUACUUGGUGUUACUGCGAAGGGGGGACGGAGAAGGCUAUGUUGGCCGGGCGACGGUUGUCCCGGUUUAAGCGUGUAGGUGUGUGUUCCAGGUAAAUCCGGUUCACUUUAACACUGAGGCGUGACGACGAGGCACUACGGUGCUGAAGCAACAAAUGCCCUGCUUCCAGGAAAAGCCUCUAAGCAUCAGGUAACAUCAAAUCGUACCCCAAACCGACACAGGUGGUCAGGUAGAGAAUACCAAGGCGCUUGAGAGAACUCGGGUGAAGGAACUAGGCAAAAUGGUGCCGUAACUUCGGGAGAAGGCACGCUGACACGUAGGUGAAGUGAUUUACUCAUGGAGCUGAAGUCAGUCGAAGAUACCAGCUGGCUGCAACUGUUUAUUAAAAACACAGCACUGUGCAAACACGAAAGUGGACGUAUACGGUGUGACGCCUGCCCGGUGCCGGAAGGUUAAUUGAUGGGGUCAGCGCAAGCGAAGCUCCUGAUCGAAGCCCCGGUAAACGGCGGCCGUAACUAUAACGGUCCUAAGGUAGCGAAAUUCCUUGUCGGGUAAGUUCCGACCUGCACGAAUGGCGUAAUGAUGGCCAGGCUGUCUCCACCCGAGACUCAGUGAAAUUGAACUCGCUGUGAAGAUGCAGUGUACCCGCGGCAAGACGGAAAGACCCCGUGAACCUUUACUAUAGCUUGACACUGAACAUUGAGCCUUGAUGUGUAGGAUAGGUGGGAGGCUUUGAAGUGUGGACGCCAGUCUGCAUGGAGCCGACCUUGAAAUACCACCCUUUAAUGUUUGAUGUUCUAACGUGGACCCGUUACCCGGGUUGCGGACAGUGUCUGGUGGGUAGUUUGACUGGGGCGGUCUCCUCC
rnacentral:rRNA from 2 species